rnacentral:rRNA from 1 species
UACGGAGGGGGCUAGCGUUGUUCGGAAUUACUGGGCGUAAAGCGCACGUAGGCGGCUUUGUAAGUUAGAGGUGAAAGCCCGGGGCUCAACUCCGGAAUUGCCUUUAAGACUGCAUCGCUAGAAUUGUGGAGAGGUAAGUGGAAUUCCGAGUGUAGAGGUGAAAUUCGUAGAUAUUCGGAAGAACACCAGUGGCGAAGGCGACUUACUGGACACUAUAGUUGACGCUGAGGUGGCGAAAGCGUGGGGAGCAAACAGG